rnacentral:tRNA from 1 species
GUGCUUGUAGCUCAAUGGCAGAGCGCCUGACUGUGGAUCAGGAAGUUGCGGGUUCGAGCCCCGUCAGGCACCCCA